AACGAACGCUGGCGGCAUGCCUAAUACAUGCAAGUCGAACGAGAUCUUCGGAUCUAGUGGCGCACGGGUGCGUAACGCGUGGGAAUCUGCCCUUGGGUUCGGAAUAACAUCUGGAAACGGAUGCUAAUACCGGAUAAUGACGUAAGUCCAAAGAUUUAUCGCCCAAGGAUGAGCCCGCGUAGGAUUAGCUAGUUGGUGAGGUAAAGGCUCACCAAGGCUACGAUCCUUAGCUGGUCUGAGAGGACGAUCAGCCACACUGGGACUGAGACACGGCCCAGACUCCUACGGGAGGCAGCAGUAGGGAAUAUUGGACAAUGGGGGCAACCCUGAUCCAGCAAUGCCGCGUGAGUGAUGAAGGCCUUAGGGUUGUAAAGCUCUUUUACCCGAGAUGAUAAUGACAGUAUCGGGAGAAUAAGCUCCGGCUAACUCCGUGCCAGCAGCCGCGGUAAUACGGAGGGAGCUAGCGUUGUUCGGAAUUACUGGGCGUAAAGCGCACGUAGGCGGUUAUUUAAGUCAGAGGUGAAAGCCCGGGGCUCAACCCCGGAACUGCCUUUGAGACUGGAUAACUUGAAUCCAGGAGAGGUGAGUGGAAUUCCGAGUGUAGAGGUGAAAUUCGUAGAUAUUCGGAAGAACACCAGUGGCGAAGGCGGCUCACUGGACUGGU
rnacentral:rRNA from 1 species